AUGAUCCGUCAAGGAUGCCAGCCUGAUUUCAUCCUACUUAAACGCAUAUAUGGAUUGAGAGUGAAAAGGGAAAAAGCAAUUUUUGAAGAUAUCAGGAGUUAUGGGUUUCUUCCUGAUAUUCGAAGUUACUUCAUUCCUUUAUUAAUGGUCUCGCAAAAACUGGUCAGACUGGGGAAACAUCCAAUAUUAUUUUUACGCGAUGAGUCAGCGAGGGCCUAUGAAAUUCUCAAGGAGAUGAAGCUAAAACGUAUCUCUCCAAAAGUUGCUAUAUAUGGAUCAAUUAUUGAUGGUCUGGUCAUGAUUGACAUGGAUGGCAAGAUAGAUGAGAGGCGUAUCAAAUAUUUGAAGAAACUCAUCUCAGGGCAUGUAGAGUCAAUGUGA
rnacentral:rRNA from 1 species